GAUGAACGCUGGCGGCGUGCCUAAUACAUGCAAGUCGAGCGAACAGACGAGGAGCUUGCUCCUCUGACGUUAGCGGCGGACGGGUGAGUAACACGUGGAUAACCUACCUAUAAGACUGGGAUAACUUCGGGAAACCGGAGCUAAUACCGGAUAAUAUAUUGAACCGCAUGGUUCAAUAGUGAAAGACGGUUUUGCUGUCACUUAUAGAUGGAUCCGCGCCGCAUUAGCUAGUUGGUAAGGUAACGGCUUACCAAGGCAACGAUGCGUAGCCGACCUGAGAGGGUGAUCGGCCACACUGGAACUGAGACACGGUCCAGACUCCUAAGGGAGGCAGCAGUAGGGAAUCUUCCGCAAUGGGCGAGAGCCUGACGGAGCAACGCCGCGUGAGUGAUGAAGGUCUUCGGAUCGUAAAACUCUGUUAUUAGGGAAGAACAAAUGUGUAAGUAACUAUGCACGUCUUGACGGUACCUAAUCAGAAAGCCACGGCUAACUACGUG
rnacentral:rRNA from 1 species